GACGAACGCUGGCGGCAUGCCUAACACAUGCAAGUCGAACGGGAAGGCCCUGCUUUUGGGGGGUGCUCGAGUUGCGACCGGGUGAGUUGCACGUGGGUUACCUGCCCCUGACCUUGGGAUAACCUCAGGAAAGUUGGUCUAAUCGCGGAAAGGAGCUCCUGCCUCUUGGUGGGGGUGCGUUGGUUUCGGUGGUUGGGAGUGGACUCGCGGCCCAUCAGCUUGAUGGUGGGGUAGUGGCUUACCAAGGCUUUGAAGGGUAGCCGGCCUGAGCGGGUGACCGGCCACACUGGGACUGAGAUGCGGCCCAGACUCCUCCGGGAGGGAGCGGUGGGGAAUAUUGCACAAUGGGCGGAAGCAUGAUGCAGCAACGCAGCGUGCGGGAUGACGGCAUUCGGGUUGUGAACCGCUGUCGCCUGUGACGAAGCGAUAGUGACGGUACCGGGUAAAUAAGCACCGGCUAACUACGUG
rnacentral:rRNA from 1 species